AGAACUUGGUAACAAGCUUACUGAGAGGAUGAGGAGCAAAGGACCAUAUAUUGCUCUUCAUUUGAGAAUGGAGAAGGAUGUGUGGGUGAGAACAGGAUGUCUUCCCGGUUUAAGCCAUGAGUAUGAUGAGAUGAUCAACAAUGAGCGAAAGCAAAGGCCCGAGCUCUUAACUUCACGUUCAAACAUGACUUACCAUACCAGAAAACUUGCUGGUCUCUGUCCCUUGAAUGCCUUAGAUUGUCUUCCUGGUUUAAGCCAUGAGUAUGAUGAGAUGAUCAACAAUGAGCGAAAGCAAAGGCCCGAGCUCUUAACUUCACGUUCAAACAUGACUUACCAGACCAGAAAACUUGCAGGUCUCUGUCCCUUG
rnacentral:lncRNA from 1 species